UCAGCAUCUUGGCCUUUUUGGCUAAGAUCAAGUGUAACACAUUUUUGGCGCCAAGGGGAGGGUGUUGGGGCUGCCUCUGGCCCACCCAGUGCCAGCCUGAUAUUGCAGUGCCUUCAGACCUGGUGCCAGUUCC
rnacentral:snRNA from 1 species